rnacentral:lncRNA from 7 species
AACAGAUCAUUUAGGCAUCCAUUGUCAGGCUAGUCCUGCAGAUUGGAAGGCUUUGGUAAAGCACCAAUGCUCUGUAAGAAGUCAGUGCCUAGCUGCCAGUAUUGCUGUCCCAGGGGUUGUAGUGCUAUUCUCUACGUAGGGCAUGCUACUGGUUCACCUGGACUGACAGGCACCGUGCUUCUUUGAUAAAGGCCUGGGGCUCUGCAGCGAAGGAAAUGAUGCUUCAGACUGCUUUCCCUCCCUUGUUACCUUAAGGUUACCAGUUGAAGGAUGUGACUUCCAGAAAGUGCAAAGCAAAACUUCCCUGCAGGCAUCUCUGAAGUGUCUCAGCAUGGGUCUUGGCAAUGCAAGUGCGGUGCAACUGUGUGACUGAAUGGUUCAAAUACCACAAAGCAUCUGUCACAUCCAGACCAAGCAGUCACAAGCUGGCUCUCAUUGCACAACAGGCAAUCAGGCACCAGAGGAGCUGGUGGAGCAGGGAAAGAUGGCAGUGCUACAAGCACAUACACAGCUAAGUCAGAACGCCUGCUGACCAUUAGGACAGAUGUGGAUGCUUUGCAGACUUCCAAGAACCCAUAUCGUGUUCAGCACAAAGUAAGUAAUAUUAGCAACCAAUAUCUGAAAAGGUAGUUAUCUAGAGGAAAAACAAGACAGAGGCAAAUGGUCAAAGGCAUUGGAUUUAAUUGUUAAAGUGGAAUGGGAAGAACAUUCUGAGUUUAGGCCAAAGACGGAGGUGCAACUUCUGCUUUGUUUGAGGAGAAUGCUGGAAGCCAACUCUGAAUUCUGCCGGUGAAAGAAAUCAUGCCCAGAAUAUUUUCAGUUGGCCAUAAUCCUUUAUGUUUACGUCUCAAACCAGGCACUAGUAUUGCUUUCAAAUGAGAACAGUAAUGUAAAUCUGACUCUUUGCCAUUGAAACAUCUCCCAGGUGUAUGCAGAAAUAUAAAAUCUUACGUACGAAUAAGGAUGUUGACUAUCUGCAUGAGUAUUUCCAUGCCAGGCAACAGGGAUGGAGACUUCUGGUCCUUGAUAACGCAGUAAGGACUGAAAAACACCUGAAUCCCACUACCACAGACAGUGACAAGCAAGCACAGCUCAGACUGCUCUGCACAAGUCUCCUAUCCUGGUUACUCCUUGAGGAAACGUACUGCCAUUGGCUGCUCUUAUGACUAAACAACGCCUAUUUUUUUUUCACUUCAGAAGCAGCCUUGGAAAGAACUGACAGCCUGAGGCGAAAU